rnacentral:tmRNA from 1 species
AGUGGCCAGUCUAAGCCAGCCGGUGGGCGUGGGUGGCUGCGAAACUAAAACGAUCGGCUAAACAUGUAGAUCCGUUGUGCUGAAGGUCUUCGGACAGGGGUUCAACUCCCCUCGCCUCCACCA